UAAUUGGAUUUUUUCAAAUCCAUUUAAAGUGGAUUAAAUAUAGAUU
rfam:Phaseolus vulgaris cultivar G19833 chromosome 4, whole genome shotgun sequence.